GGAGCCGUAGCUCAGCUGGUUAGAGCGCUUCCCUGUCACGGAAGAGGUCGCGGGUUCGAGUCCCGUUGGCUCCGCCA
rnacentral:tRNA from 1 species